GCGAGCGUGGUGCAGUUGGUUACCACAUCUGUCUAACAGAGGUGGCUUCGGGUUCACUUGAAGCUCAUUCCUGUCAGCGCACAGAAGACCCCCGGUUCGAGCCCGGGCGCUCGUA